GGUCCCUUUAAUGACUUUCUGGGCUGUACUGCUGGCACUGGCUUGGCUCCCCUCCCUCCCUCCCCUCUUUGUCUCUGUGUUUAGAUUUUUCCUGUCUUGUGUUUUCUGUUGUGUAUCGGUCUUGUGUUAUCAUUUUUGUUCUG